rnacentral:rRNA from 1 species
CGGAGAGGAGGUCACACCCGUUCCCAUGCCGAACACGGAAGUUAAGCUCUUCAGCGCCGAUGGUAGUCGGGGGUUUCCCCCUGUGAGAGUAGGACGC